rnacentral:misc_RNA from 1 species
GUCAGCGACAAGGAAUGUUCUUGGUGCUCUUCCUCAUGAUAUUGGAAUGGAUGAUCCAUGGUUUGAAGUAAAUUACUAUUGCCUGUAUAACACAGAUAGGUGGAAAGAUUUGAACCCAAAAUUUGUUCUUCAAGUUUACAGGGAUUUUGUUGCGACAGGUGACAAAAAGUUUGCCGAAGCUGUUUGGCCGUCUGUGUAUAUGGCAAUAGCUUUCAUGGACCAAUUUGAUAAGGAUGGGGAUGGGAUG